CUAUACUGCAAGUCGAGCGGACAGAAGGGAGCUUGCUCCCGGAUGUUAGCGGCGGACGGGUGAGUAACACGUGGGUAACCUGCCUGUAAGACUGGGAUAACUCCGGGAAACCGGAGCUAAUACCGGAUAGUUCCUUGAACCGCAUGGUUCAAGGAUGAAAGACGGUUUCGGCUGUCACUUACAGAUGGACCCGCGGCGCAUUAGCUAGUUGGUGAGGUAACGGCUCACCAAGGCGACGAUGCGUAGCCGACCUGAGAGGGUGAUCGGCCACACUGGGACUGAGACACGGCCCAGACUCCUACGGGAGGCAGCAGUAGGGAAUCUUCCGCAAUGGACGAAAGUCUGACGGAGCAACGCCGCGUGAGUGAUGAAGGUUUUCGGAUCGUAAAGCUCUGUUGUUAGGGAAGAACAAGUGCAAGAGUAACUGCUUGCACCUUGACGGUACCUAACCAGAAAGCCACGGCUAACUACGUGCCAGCAGCCGCGGUAAUACGUAGGUGGCAAGCGUUGUCCGGAAUUAUUGGGCGUAAAGGGCUCGCAGGCGGUUUCUUAAGUCUGAUGUGAAAGCCCCCGGCUCAACCGGGGAGGGUCAUUGGAAACUGGGAAACUUGAGUGCAGAAGAGGAGAGUGGAACUUCACCCUGU
rnacentral:rRNA from 1 species